AGAACGAACGCUGGCGGCAUGCCUAAUACAUGCAAGUCGAACGAACUCUUCGGAGUUAGUGGCGCACGGGUGCGUAACGCGUGGGAAUCUGCCCUUGGGUUCGGAAUAACAGUUGGAAACGACUGCUAAUACCGGAUGAUGACGAAAGUCCAAAGAUUUAUCGCCCAGGGAUGAGCCCGCGUAGGAUUAGCUAGUUGGUGAGGUAAAGGCUCACCAAGGCGACGAUCCUUAGCUGGUCUGAGAGGAUGAUCAGCCACACUGGGACUGAGACACGGCCCAGACCUCCGUACGGGAGCAGCAGUAGGGAGUA
rnacentral:rRNA from 1 species